rnacentral:rRNA from 1 species
GUGGGGAAUUUUGGACAAUGGGCGCAAGCCUGAUCCAGCAAUGCCGCGUGCAGGAAGAAGGCCUUCGGGUUGUAAACUGCUUUUGUACGGAACGAAACGGUCCUGGUUAAUACCUGGGGCUAAUGACGGUACCGUAAGAAUAAGCACCGGCUAACUACGUGCCAGCAGCCGCGGUAAUACGUAGGGUGCAAGCGUUAAUCGGAAUUACUGGGCGUAAAGCGUGCGCAGGCGGUUUUGUAAGACAGGCGUGAAAUCCCCGGGCUCAACCUGGGAAUUGCGAUUGUGACUGCAAGGCUGGAGUGCGGCAGAGGGGGAUGGAAUUCCGUGUGUAGCAGUGAAAUGCGUAGAUAUGCGGAGGAACACCGAUGGCGAAGGCAAUCCCCUGGGCCUGCACUGACGCUCAUGCACGAAAGCGUGGGGAGCAAACAGGAUUAGAUACCCUUGUAGUCC